ensembl:snoRNA
UUGCAUUAAAACUACUAAUCUGGUUUAAGAGGCCAACACAGAAGGGUAAAGGGACUCUCCAUAAAACCCAGAGAAGAGACUGUACAUUUCCUCUUUGGAUCUUGUCUGGAGUCACACUG